GUGAAAUAGUAAAUAAUGGCUACUUCUCAGAAAGUUUGAAACAGUUGAGGAGUAAAACAAGGUUGUCCACUAUCGGCAUAGCUAUUUAUUAUUGUCAUUGAAAUGUUAGCUAUUAAAAUCAGAUCAAACAAUAAUAUCACAAUUCAAAUCCCUCCACAGCCUCAUAGAGGAUCUAUAUUUUGUUUAUUGAUUACAACUGAACUAUGAUCAGGGCACCAUAUUACGUAUUAGAUUGCAAAAAAGUAAAACUUUUACAUUUGUUUUCCAAUAAAAUGGUCUGACGGGGAUGUGGACAUACUCUGUAUAUCCUGAAAUAAAUGAUCUCACUCCAAUACAUUUUUAUAGAACGUUAGCAAAAAUAGAUCAGAUCUUGCUACCAUGGAAAGGUAAAUACCUUUCUGUUUGUGGUCAAAUCACCCUGAUUAACUCUUUAGUCAUAUCCCAGUUUACCCUGAUUAACUCUUUAGUCAUAUCCCAGUUUACCCUGAUUAACUCUUUAGUCGUAUCCCAGUUUACCCUGAUUAACUCUUUAGUCAUAUCCCAGUUUACCCUGAUUAACUCUUUAGUCGUAUCCCAGUUUACCCUGAUUAACUCUUUAGUCGUAACCCAGUUUACCCUGAUUAACUCUUUAGUCAUAUCCCAGUUUACCCUGAUUAACUCUUUAGUCGUAUCCCAUUUUACCCUGAUUAACUCUUUAGUCAUAUCCCAGUUUACCCUGAUUAACUCUUUAGUCGUAUCCCAGUUUACCCUGAUUAACUCUUUAGUCAUAUCCCAGUUUACCCUGAUUAACUCUUUAGUCGUAUCCCAGUUUACCCUGAUUAACUCUUUAGUCAUAUCCCAGUUUACCCUGAUUAACUCUUUAGUUGUAUCCCAGUUUACCCUGAUUAACUCUUUAGUCAUAUCCCAUUUUACCCUGAUUAACUCUUUAGUCGUAUCCCAGUUUACCCUGAUUAACUCUUUAGUCGUAUCCCAGUUUACCCUGAUUAACUCUUUAGUCAUAUCCCAUUUUACCCUGAUUAACUCUUUAGUCGUAUCCCAGUUUACCCUGAUUAACUCUUUAGUCGUAUCCCAUUUUACCCUGAUUAACUCUUUAGUCGUAUCCCAUUUUACCCUGAUUAACUCUUUAGUCAUAUCCCAGUUUACCCUGAUUAACUCUUUAGUCAUAUCCCAUUUUACCCUGAUUAAAUCUUUAGUCACAUCCCAGUUUACCAUUAUUUGCUCCAGUCAUAUCCCAGUUUAUCUAUUUGCUUAUUGUCUUGCCUACACCUAGCGAACAGUUUUUUAAAUUAUAUGAGA
rnacentral:lncRNA from 1 species